GUGCCAGCAGCCGCGGUAAUACGUAGGUGGCAAGCGUUGUCCGGAAUUAUUGGGCGUAAAGCGCGCGCAGGCGGUCCCUUAAGUCUGAUGUGAAAGCCCCCGGCUUAACCGGGGAGGGUCAUUGGAAACUGGGGGACUUGAGUGCAGAAGAGAAGAGCGGAAUUCCAUGUGUAGCGGUGAAAUGCGCAGAGAUAUGGAGGAACACCAGUGGCGAAGGCGGCUCUUUGGUCUGUAACUGACGCUGAGGCGCGAAAGCGUGGGGAGCAAACAGGAUUAGAUACCCUGGUAGUCCACGCCGUAAACGAUGAGUGCUAAGUGUUAGAGGGGUUAACCCUUUAGUGCUGCAGCUAACGCGUUAAGCACUCCGCCUGGGGAGUACGGCCGCAAGGCUGAAACUCAAAGGAAUUGGCGGGG
rnacentral:rRNA from 1 species